GGAUGUUUGCAAAACUAAGAAGAGCAGAACAGAGUUGGGCACAACUACGACAAGCAGAAGAUUGGUGAACGGGAUGAAACAGUCGAUACCAAUGAGAAUGUCGUUGGUGCUAACAAAAGGUGACACCUCCAGUAUGUCCUUGCUAUUUUUUCCGUCUAGAUCUAAUAUGUGUUCCUACAAAGAGUAAAUAGGAACAUCAGUGCUGGCCUUCCAUCUGAAUCUGAGACAUUGAAUGAGAUCCUGUCAUUGCUAAGAAAAGCUAAGGAGGUCACCACCAAGAAUACCAAGGCCGCGUCGACGGACUCAGAAUUUCAAGUGUCAUUGCAUUGUCGAGUAUGUUCAGCGGGAAGGAAAGCAACAAGCUGCUGGGGGUCAGGAUGACAAAGAUUGGUUCAACGUCGGCUGCUUCGUUGCGCCAGUGCCACACUUAGGCUGGUACAUGCACGUACGACCAUGGCGUCGGCGCCACUUCUUCAUCUUCUCCCGAACUGGCCCAUCCUCGCCAUUUCCACCGGGAUAAGCGAGUUGGAGGAAGAUGGAGAGGUGAGCUGGUUCUACUCAUUGACAGGAAAUUAUUUGGGCAUAACUUCCUUUUCGCAACAAGAAAUGAAAAUGUUCCCAUGAGAUUGAUUGAUCGUGCCCCGCUUUUGGAUGCUGCCGUUGCUUUUGAACCAAUGUCAUCUAUGUCAUCGGUCAUGUAACCUCUAAGGCACCUGAUAAUAUAUAUGAUGUAACUGUCUUUUCUUCUAAAGAUGACAUAUUGUGUCAAU